rnacentral:rRNA from 1 species
CAGCCGCCGCGGUAAUACAGAGGGUGCGAGCGUUAAUCGGAUUUACUGGGCGUAAAGCGUGCGUAGGCGGCUUCUUAAGUCGGAUGUGAAAUCCCUGAGCUUAACUUAGGAAUUGCAUUCGAUACUGGGAAGCUAGAGUAUGGGAGAGGAUGGUAGAAUUCCAGGUGUAGCGGUGAAAUGCGUAGAGAUCUGGAGGAAUACCGAUGGCGAAGGCAGCCGUCUGGCCUAAUACUGACGCUGAGGUACGAAAGCAUGGGGAGCAAACAGGAUUAGAUACCCCAGUAGUCCCUGUCUCUUAUAC